GUGGGGAAUUUUCCGCAAUGGGCGCAAGCCUGACGGAGCAACGCCGCGUGGGUGACGAAGGAUUUCGGUCUGUAAAGCCCUUUCAGUCGGGACGAGUCGCAGACGGUACCGACAGAAGAAGCAUCGGCUAACUACGUGCCAGCAGCCGCGGUAAGACGUAGGAUGCGAGCGUUGUCCGGAAUUAUUGGGCGUAAAGCGUACGUAGGCGGUCAUCUAAGUCUGGGGUUAAAGACCAAGGCUCAACCUUGGGAGUGCCCUGGAUACUGGGUGACUGGAGGACGGCAGAGGAAAGUGGAAUUCCCAGUGUAGCGGUGAAAUGCGUAGAUAUUGGGAGGAACACCAGUGGCGAAAGCGACUUUCUGGGCCGUUCCUGACGCUGAGGUACGAAAGCCAGGGGAGCAAACGGGAUUAGAUACCCCGGUAGUCCUGGCCGUAAACGAUGGAUACUAGGUGUCAUCGGUAUCAACCCCGGUGGUGCCGUAGCUAACGCGUUAAGUAUCCCGCCUGGGGAGUACGGUCGCAAGGCUGAAACUCAA
rnacentral:rRNA from 1 species